rnacentral:rRNA from 1 species
CCUACGGGAGGCUGCAGUGGGGGAUAUUGCACAAUGGGGGAAACCCUGAUGCAGCGACGCCGCGUGGGUGAAGAAGCGCCUCGGCGCGUAAAGCCCUGUCAGCAGGGAAGAAAAUGACGGUACCUGAAGAAGAAGCCCCGGCUAACUACGUGCCAGCAGCCGCGGUACUACGGAGGGGGCGAGCGUUAUCCGGAUUUACUGGGUGUAAAGGGGGCGCAGACGGCGUUGCAAGCCAGGAGUGAAAGCCCGGGGCCCAACCCCGGGAUUGCUCUUGAAACUGCGUGUCUAGAGUGCAGUAGGGGCAGGCGGAAUUCGUGGUGUAGCGGUGAAAUGCGUAGAUAUCAGGAGGAACACCGGUGGCGAAGGCAGCCUGCUGGACUGCAACUGACGUUGAGGCCCGAAAGCGUGGGGAGCAAACAGGAUUAGAUACCCGAGUAGUC